GAAGGUAUAGCUUAAGUGGUAGAGCGCAUGUUUAGCAUGUAUGAGGCCCUGGGUUCAACCCCCAGUACUUCCU
rnacentral:tRNA from 1 species